GCGUCUGGAAAGGCGUGCGAUACAGGGUGACAGCCCCGUACACAAAAAUGCACAUACUGUGAGCUCGAUGAGUAGGGCGGGACACGUGGUAUCCUGUCUGAAUAUGGGGGGACCAUCCUCCAAGGCUAAAUACUCCUGACUGACCGAUAGUGAACCAGUACCGUGAGGGAAAGGCGAAAAGAACCCCGGCGAGGGGAGUGAAAAAGAACCUGAAACCGUGUACGUACAAGCAGUGGGAGCCUCUUAAUGGGGUGACUGCGUACCUUUUGUAUAAUGGGUCAGCGACUUAUAUUCUGUAGCAAGGUUAACCGAAUAGGGGAGCCGAAGGGAAACCGAGUCUUAACUGGGCGUUAAGUUGCAGGGUAUAGACCCGAAACCCGGUGAUCUAGCCAUGGGCAGGUUGAAGGUUGGGUAACACUAACUGGAGGACCGAACCGACUAAUGUUGAAAAAUUAGCGGAUGACUUGUGGCUGGGGGUGAAAGGCCAAUCAAACCGGGAGAUAGCUGGUUCUCCCCGAAAGCUAUUUAGGUAGCGCCUCGUGAAUUCAUCUCCGGGGGUAGAGCACUGUUUCGGCAAGGGGGUCAUCCCGACUUACCAACCCGAUGCAAACUGCGAAUACCGGAGAAUGUUAUCACGGGAGACACACGGCGGGUGCUAACGUCCGUCGUGAAGAGGGAAACAACCCAGACCGCCAGCUAAGGUCCCAAAGUCAUGGUUAAGUGGGAAACGAUGUGGGAAGGCCCAGACAGCCAGGAUGUUGGCUUAGAAGCAGCCAUCAUUUAAAGAAAGCGUAAUAGCUCACUGGUCGAGUCGGCCUGCGCGGAAGAUGUAACGGGGCUAAACCAUGCACCGAAGCUGCGGCAGCGACACUAUGUGUUGUUGGGUAGGGGAGCGUUCUGUAAGCCUGUGAAGGUGUACUGUGAGGUAUGCUGGAGGUAUCAGAAGUGCGAAUGCUGACAUAAGUAACGAUAAAGCGGGUGAAAAGCCCGCUCGCCGGAAGACCAAGGGUUCCUGUCCAACGUUAAUCGGGGCAGGGUGAGUCGACCCCUAAGGCGAGGCCGAAAGGCGUAGUCGAUGGGAAACAGGUUAAUAUUCCUGUACUUGGUGUUACUGCGAAGGGGGGACGGAGAAGGCUAUGUUGGCCGGGCGACGGUUGUCCCGGUUUAAGCGUGUAGGCUGGUUUUCCAGGCAAAUCCGGAAAAUCAAGGCUGAGGCGUGAUGACGAGGCACUACGGUGCUGAAGCAACAAAUGCCCUGCUUCCAGGAAAAGCCUCUAAGCAUCAGGUAACAUCAAAUCGUACCCCAAACCGACACAGGUGGUCAGGUAGAGAAUACCAAGGCGCUUGAGAGAACUCGGGUGAAGGAACUAGGCAAAAUGGUGCCGUAACUUCGGGAGAAGGCACGCUGAUAUGUAGGUGAAGUCCCUCGCGGAUGGAGCUGAAAUCAGUCGAAGAUACCAGCUGGCUGCAACUGUUUAUUAAAAACACAGCACUGUGCAAACACGAAAGUGGACGUAUACGGUGUGACGCCUGCCCGGUGCCGGAAGGUUAAUUGAUGGGGUUAGCGGUAACGCGAAGCUCUUGAUCGAAGCCCCGGUAAACGGCGGCCGUAACUAUAACGGUCCUAAGGUAGCGAAAUUCCUUGUCGGGUAAGUUCCGACCUGCACGAAUGGCGUAAUGAUGGCCAGGCUGUCUCCACCCGAGACUCAGUGAAAUUGAACUCGCUGUGAAGAUGCAGUGUACCCGCGGCAAGACGGAAAGACCCCGUGAACCUUUACUAUAGCUUGACACUGAACAUUGAGCCUUGAUGUGUAGGAUAGGUGGGAGGCUUUGAAGUGUGGACGCCAGUCUGCAUGGAGCCGGCCUUGAAAUACCACCCUUUAAUGUUUGAUGUUCUAACGUUGGCCCCUGACCGGGGUUGCGGACAGUGUCUGGUGGGUAGUUUGACUGGGGCGGUCUCCUCCUAAAGAGUAACGGAGGAGCACGAAGGUUGGCUAAUCCUGGUCGGACAUCAGGAGGUUAGUGCAAUGGCAUAAGCCAGCUUGACUGCGAGCGUGACGGCGCGAGCAGGUGCGAAAGCAGGUCAUAGUGAUCCGGUGGUUCUGAAUGGAAGGGCCAUCGCUCAACGGAUAAAAGGUACUCCGGGGAUAACAGGCUGAUACCGCCCAAGAGUUCAUAUCGACGGCGGUGUUUGGCACCUCGAUGUCGGCUCAUCACAUCCUGGGGCUGAAGUAGGUCCCAAGGGUAUGGCUGUUCGCCAUUUAAAGUGGUACGCGAGCUGGGUUUAGAACGUCGUGAGACAGUUCGGUCCCUAUCUGCCGUGGGCGCUGGAGAACUGAGGGGGGCUGCUCCUAGUACGAGAGGACCGGAGUGGACGCAUCACUGGUGUUCGGGUUGUCAUGCCAAUGGCACUGCCCGGUAGCUAAAUGCGGAAGAGAUAAGUGCUGAAAGCAUCUAAGCACGAAACUUGCCCCGAGAUGAGUUCUCCCUGACUCCUUGAGAGUCCUGAAGGAACGUUGAAGACGACGACGUUGAUAGGCCGGGUGUGUAAGCGCAGCGAUGCGUUGAGCUAACCGGUACUAAUGAACCGUGAGGCUUAACCUUACAACGCCGAAG
rnacentral:rRNA from 1 species